rnacentral:rRNA from 1 species
UGGGGAAUCUUCCGCAAUGGACGAAAGUCUGACGGAGCAACGCCGCGUGUAUGACGAAGGCCUUCGGGUUGUAAAGUACUGUCUUUGGGGGACGAACGGUAUCUAUGUAAAUAAUGUAGAUACAUGACGGUACCCAAGGAGGAAGCCCCGGCUAACUACGUGCCAGCAGCCGCGGUAAUACGUAGGGGGCGAGCGUUGUCCGGAAUCAUUGGGCGUAAAGGGCGCGUAGGCGGGUCAUUAAGUCUGGUGUGAAAGGCAGGGGCUCAACCCCUGGAAGGCACCGGAACUGGUUAUCUUGAGGACAGGAGAGGAAAGCGGAAUUCCACGUGUAGCGGUGAAAUGCGUAGAUAUGUGGAGGAACACCAGUGGCGAAGGCGGCUUUCUGGACUGUAACUGACGCUGAGGCGCGAAAGCGUGGGGAGCAAACAGGAUUAGAUACCCUGGUAGUCCACGCCGUAAACGAUGAGUGCUAGGUGUAGA